GAUGAACGCUGGCGGCGUGCCUAAUACAUGCAAGUCGAGCGAACGGACGAGAAGCUUGCUUCUCUGAUGUUAGCGGCGGACGGGUGAGUAACACGUGGAUAACCUACCUAUAAGACUGGGAUAACUUCGGGAAACCGGAGCUAAUACCGGAUGAUAUUUUGAACCGCAUGGUUCAAAAGUGAAAGACGGUCUUGCUGUCACUUAUAGAUGGAUCCGCGCUGCAUUAGCUAGUUGGUAAGGUAACGGCUUACCAAGGCAACGAUGCAUAGCCGACCUGAGAGGGGGAUCGGCCACACUGGAACUGAGACACGGUCCAGACUCCUACGGGAGGCAGCAGUAGGGAAUCGUCCGCAAUGGGCGAAAGCCUGACGGAGCAACGCCGCGUGAGUGAUGAAGGUCGUCGGAGCGUAAAACUCUGUUAUUAGGGAAGAACAUAUGUGUAAGUAACUGGGCACAUCUUGACGGUACCUAAUCAGAAAGCCACGGCUAACUACG
rnacentral:rRNA from 1 species